UUCAGACUAACACGCUGGGAGCCUGCUGCCAAGGCUGGAGGUGUGUGGAGGCUUGCUCUGAAGGGUUUGCAUUGCAAGUGACAUCUGGCUGACAGGAACUUGGAGAAAUGGAAUCCGAAGUGAAUGCUGCAGUUACCACAAGCCUCAUAUUUAUCAAAAGGUUUAAGGUUGCUCUGUCUUUGUUUAACAUAUGAAACUUGGAACCCU
rnacentral:lncRNA from 1 species